rnacentral:rRNA from 1 species
AGACGGGGGCCCGCACAAGCGGUGGAGCAUGUGGUUUAAUUCGAAGCAACGCGAAGAACCUUUACCAGGUCUUGACAUCCCGAUGCUAUUUCUAGAGAUAGAAAGUUACUUCGGUACAUCGGUGACAGGUGGUGCAUGGUUGUCGUCAGCUCGUGUCGUGAGAUGUUGGGUUAAGUCCCGCAGCGAGCGCAACCCCUAUUGUUAGUUGCCAUCAUUCAGUUGGGCACUCUAGCGAGACUGCCGGUAAUAAACCGGAGGAAGGUGGGGAUGACGUCAAAUCAUCAUGCCCCUUAUGACCUGGGCUACACACGUGCUACAAUGGUUGGUACAACGAGUUGCGAGUCGGUGACGGCGAGCUAAUCUCUUAAAGCCAAUCUCAGUUCGGAUUGUAGGCUGCAACUCGCCUACAUGAAGUCGGAAUCGCUAGUAAUCGCGGAUCAGCACGCCGCGGUGAAUACGUUCCCGGGCCUU